AAACUCCUCAGUGGCUGUCACUUUUGCUGGGCUGUAAACCAACUGGACCCCAGGAGGAGAUGCCCUGGAAUGUUUGAGGAACUAAGAAAAUGACCUCAAGCUUGGUGGGAGACUGGCAGAGCGCCCUCUGCUGGCGGAGAGGCUCCCUACAGAAGAGGAGGAAGGACAGAGAAGGGAAAGCCAGACACCUGAGGCUCCUCCUAGGCACUCAGGACCAGAAGUCAGAUGAAUAUUGGAGCCCCUUCAACUAGAUUCUUGACCUUCAAGGACAGGGACCACCCCCUACUA